rnacentral:other from 1 species
ACUCCCCUGCCGCGUGCGACCCUGGCUGUGAUUUUUUUGAGCCAUUAAAUCUUUGAACGGGAGCUGUUUAGAUCCGCGAGUUGCGCAGACCCGGAGGUCUUCCAUGGAAGAUGGCCGGGGAGCCUGAAAACGGAUACCAUGGCGCCCACCUGGUUAAACCAGGUUCAAAAGAUGCGGCCAGCCGGCGAUGGCGGGGGAUUU